rnacentral:tRNA from 1 species
GGGUCCAUAACUCAAUUGGUAGAGUAGUAGCCUUUUAAGCUAUUAAUCCGGGUUCGAGUCCCGGUGGACCCA